UGCGCAGGCGGAAUGAUUAGUCAGUGGUGAAAUCCUACAGCUCAACUGUAGAACUGCCAUUGAUACUGUCAUUCUUGAGUACAGUGGAAGUGGGCGGAAUGUAUCAUGUAGCAGUGAAAUGCAUAGAUAUGAUACAGAACACCGAUAGCGAAAGCAGCUCACUAUACUGUAACUGACGCUCAGGCACGAAAGCGUGGGGAGCAAACAGGAUUAGAUACCCUGGUAGUCC
rnacentral:rRNA from 1 species